rnacentral:rRNA from 1 species
UACGUAGGGGGCAAGCGUUGUCCGGAAUCAUUGGGCGUAAAGAGCGUGUAGGCGGCCCGGUAAGUCCGCUGUGAAAGUCCAGGGCUCAACCCUGGGAUGCCGGUGGAUACUGUCGGGCUCGAGUCCGGAAGAGGAGUGUGGAAUUCCUGGUGUAGCGGUGAAAUGCGCAGAUAUCAGGAGGAACACCAAUGGCGAAGGCAGCUCGCUGGGACGUGACUGACGCUGAGACGCGAAAGCGUGGGGAGCAAACAGG